CCUAGCAACAGCUUGGGUCGUUCUAUAGGCUACAAACGUGUCAUACAGGCCUAUUGUUUCCAACAACUUUUUUUGGGCGAGACGCAUUAAACUUAAUCUAGAUAACAUGAAUGACCGCUGCAAAACACGGUCAAAGUAAAAUAGCUAUCAGGAUACGCUUCCUUGUAAUAUAAAGUAAUAAACUCGUGCAAAAGGUGGUUCCCAUUCAGUAUGUGUUCUUUUGGCGCGUUGGACAAGCUCGGACCCCAGGACAAGCUCGGACACUAUUCACAUGGAGGAGAGAUACAAUACAGACCGCACAUUCGGCACAUAGAGCCCAACCUAACAGAGGUAGCUAAGAUACAGAGCAGGCACAGUGACCUUUGCAAGCUAAAUCCAAGUCCAGCGCGUUGAGAGGAUCUAAGAACACCAGACUGUGUGACCUUGACUGGAGCUCUGGUCUGCGGUGGCUGCCAGCGCCUCGCUACAGUGAUGCUCCACUCCCUCACAUCAAACUGAUCAAGUUCCCUGAAGAGACCAGACUGCUCAGGUCCUUCCCACAGGCCAACAUGGUGUCCCAGACUGAGUGGACGUUUUAUCCCAACUUUGGUCAGCCCAGAACCUUCCAUGUUGGCAAACGCUGUUUGCUGGAGGGAGGUCACCAUUAUAGGACCAUACGGUGUUCUUCAGAGAGAACUCUGGAGGCCACCAUUGGGAGGAAAAAACAAGCCAGGUUUACCUGCCAUUCUGCACCUGGUUCUAGACCCUAUCUAACACCUGAGUACAGUCCUGACUUUCACAAGUUUGGAUCAACAUUAGCAACAACACAUUUUGGGUCACUGACCUUCAGUGCAGAUACAUUCGUUCCUCUUCAGCCACCUCCAAAAAAGACAUGUAUUCCAUAUGUAGCGAGGAAGAGGAUGGAGGACAGAGAGGCAGACAUCCUGGAAGUGAAGAAGCUGAGUAAAUGGAGGCCUGCACCAGUCAUAUUCAAAACUGUGCUUGACAACUGACAGACAUGUCAAAAUGUUUUUUUAGAUGAAUGAGGAGAAAUGGAUUACAAUUACAAACGGAAUAUUAUGAUCAUUCGGCAUGAUUACAGUCACGUGGUUUUGAUUCUACUGUAGUUUGAUAAGGAAGUUUGGUGGGGGGGGAUCAAAGAUGUAAUAAAGUGUGAUUAAUUGUCAUGACA